GAUGAACGCUGGCGGCGUGCCUAAUACAUGCAAGUCGAGCGAACGGACGAGAAGCUUGCUUUUCUGAUGUUAGCGGCGGACGGGUGAGUAACACGUGGAUAACCUACCUAUAAGACUGGGAUAACUUCGGGAAACCGGAGCUAAUACCGGAUAAUAUUUUGAACCGCAUAGUUCAAAAGUGAAAGACGGUCUUGCUGUCACUUAUGGAUGGAUCCGCGCUGCAUUAGCUAGUUGGUAAGGUAACGGCUUACCAAGGCAACGAUGCAUAGCCGACCUGAGAGGGUGAUCGGCCACACUGGAACUGAGACACGGUCCAGACUCCUACGGGAGGCAGCAGUAGGGAAUCUUCCGCAAUGGGCGAAAGCCUGACGGAGCAACGCCGCGUGAGUGAUGAAGGUCUUCGGAUCGUAAAACUCUGUUAUUAGGGAAGAACAUAUGUGUAAGUAACUGUGCACAUCUUGACGGUACCUAAUCAGAAAGCCACGGCUAACUACGUG
rnacentral:rRNA from 1 species